UUUGUCAGGUGACCUGGAAUUGUUUAAUAUGGAUUAAUUGUAUUUAUGAAGAACAGAGAUUGCAGUGAGCCUUAAAAUAAUCUGGACAGGGCCUCCUGAGUGGCGCAGCGGUCUAAAGCACUGCAUCGCAGUGCUAGAGGCGUCAUUACAGACCCUGGUUCUGUGCCACAGCCAGCUGCGACCGGGAGACCCAUGAGGCGACGCGCAAUUGGCCCAGCGUCGUCCGGGUUAGGGGAGGGUUUGGCCGGCCGGGUUGUCCUUGUCCCACUGCUUUAGAGACUUCUGUGGAGGGCGGACGCAUGCACGCUGACUUCAGUCGCCAGUUGUACGGUGUUUCCUUCGACACAUUGGUGCGACUGGCUUCCGGGUUAAGCGAGCAGUGUGUCAAGAAGCAGUGUGGCUUGGCAGGGCUAUGUUUCGGAGGACGCAUGGAUCUCGAACCUUCGCCUCUCCCGAGUUUCAGCGAUGGGACAGGACUGUCACUAGCAAUUGGAUAUCACGAAAUUGGGGAGAAAAAGGGGGUAAAAAGUAAAAUAUAUAUAUAACAUCCGGACAAUAGAAGUUUUGUGUUUUAAACUUCGGAGUAGAUCACCCAUCAAAGGAGUCAUGUCAAAGGUGACGACGGAUGUUCAGGUUCAAUACCUGAAGAGAAUUCCUAGUGUGGUUGGUGCCCGCCGUUUAGUUUAGUUUAUUUAUUUUUGGAGUUUGCUAGUUUGUUCCAUUUUUAGGAAUCCUGUUUCCAUCCCGCACGGUAGUUGGUGGGAUGCAUAUUAAAUUGCGCGAUCACCAUAUACCAUAGAAGAAGAAGAAAUGUUUUGAGAAGAAUAAACAUUAUGAAAUGUGAGUAUUAUGUUUAUUUAUUCAACAAAUUACAUUAAAAUUUUAAUCUUUCAUAUGAUGGUUAAAUUCAAUCAUUAGGACAUAACGCAGAGUCAGGUCUCUAGCCAAGCUAGCUACCAGGUGAUCUUGUCAUUUUUACGCUAUGAACAAUUAAUUGUAUAUUCAGGAAUGUGUCAAUGAUAUAGGAAUGCACAGUUUUAAAAUCCUGAAUUGGUGAUCUUGCAAGGCAGCUCAUGACAAAUCAUAUUUUUCAAACUUUUUUAAUUCAGGGACGAAAGAGGACAAUGUAUUGGCAGGACAAAACACUCUUUCCCGACUGGUGUGAGGUCUAUCUACAUGUGACCAGGUGGACCUCUUCACCAGGCAGGCCUUCGCUGCAGUCUAACAUCACCAGCAAAGGUCUCUGAUGAGAUUAAGAUCGUGCUUCCAACCUGCCGCCUGGAUAUCUCAGCAUCAUCGAGACUUGGUGCUCCAGUACCGAUUGCAGGGAGAACAGUCUAUGACUAGGGUGGCUGGAGUCUUCAACCAUUUUUAGGGCCUUCCUCUGACACCGCCUGGUAUAGAGGUCCUGGAUGGCAGGAAGCUUGGCCCCGGUGAUGUACUGGGCCAUGCGCUCUACCCUCUGGAGUACCUUGAGGUCGGAGGCCGAGCAGUUGCCAUACCAGGUAGUGAUGGUUUUUUUUUAUAAACCAGAUUUGCUGUUCACUUGAGCAAUAUGAGAUUGGAAAAGUUCCGUGCAAUAAUGGCUCUAUAUAAUACUGUACACUUUCUUGAUAUUUUAAAUAGGUUGAAAGCUAAGAUUAAUACUGGCUGUUCCUCUGUUUCCAGAGUGAUGGUUCAUAUUGUAGCUCACGCGUAGGGACUGGAACAUCAUCUCAGGUCCUAUGUGAAGUUUGUGUUCAAGCCAGAGCCGAACUCAGCCAGUGGGAUCCCUAACCCUCAGAGUGUCCAUGAGGAGCUGGCUAAAGCCAUGACAGCCAACCUCAACCCCUCCACUUACUUCCUCACCAGCAACAAACUGCUACUCGUGGUACUUCGUAGAAGCCCUGGUGAAGUCUAUGGCCCAGCAUAGGACCCAGAGUGGUAAAUUCAACCUGUCUAGCAAACCAAGUUUCUCUGCCUUCCUUCCACCACACAGUAGAGAAAAAUGCAGAGGCCUCACAUCAACAAGAACUGCAAGGACAAACUGGAUGCUACCCGAAAUGCCAACCACAGUCUGGCAGUCUUGGAGUGCCAUAGACAACCAACAAAACAGUUGUUGGUUUCAUUCAGAAAAUUGCCACAUUUAGUUCUAUGGUAAUGCUAUUUUCUUGUUAUGAGGACUGAUGACUUAUUGUAUGCUACACGCAGCAAAAUAAAUAUGUGCACCCUAUACUAUCAGGGUAGAUUAUUGGUGUUUCUUGUGCUAUGUAGAAACUAUUUGCUAGUAAUUUAAAUAAUAAACAACUGUAUUCUGUCCUAUUAAAGUAGUUCCGUUUAGGAAAUUAGUAUCUUCAUUAUUUAUUAUUGUAGUGUUAAUCUAUCUGUGAAAAUCUGAAGAAAACAGAAACUAAGGUGAAAGUAAUAGUAAUUUACACAAUAACAGGGAACAGAGCAUUGCUUUAGAAUACAGUGUCAAGACCCCAUAGGUACACUGAAGCUAUGGGGAAACUGUACAGAAAGUAAGCUACACUGAAACAAUGGACAUAGUAAUUUACACGGUAACGGGAACAGGGCAUUGCUUUAGAAUACAGUGUCAAGGCCCCACAGGUACACUGAUACUAUGGGGAAACUAUCCAGGAAGAAACAGUAAGGCACACAAACUGAUGAAAGUAGUAAGGAAUCUAAUAGUAAUUUACAGGGGAACAGAGCGUUGCUUUAGAAUACAGUGUCUUGGCCCCAUAGGUACACUGAAACAAUAUGGUGAAACUAUGCCUACGCAUGAAGUAACAAAUAAGGUACAUAAUAUGUACUUAAGUACAGUGCUGAAAUAACUGUAUAAUGAUCGGAAAGUAAUCGGAAACAAGACAAAAGGCAGCUAGCUACAAGCAAAGCCUUAAAAGGGACGUUUUUAGGAUGGUCCACAUAAAGCAUAAGUGAAAGCUCCAUGUACAUUCUUAAUAAGUAUACCCUCUAUUAUUGAUAGUUCUUUAUGUUCCUACAUAACAACCAGGAUAAUUCAUCACUCUUUAUAUUAGUACUUAGCAGCUACAAACAAAAUAUUAAUGGAUAAUUGGUGUUCAUGCCUGGUUGUUGCCAUCUUAUUUCAUUGUUUUUUUCCAGGUACUUUCCAGACAUCACCCUCUUAUUCAGCUAUCCUUGUGACCUAAGCCACCCUGCUAUUUCCUGUUUCCCGUGUUCCUCUGCCCUCGAAUUAGAGGAGAGCUGAGUAAAUGUAACCCAAUCAGCUUCAAGGUUUCAGCCUCUCUAGUAAUAGUAUUUUAUGUUCUCUUCCUGUGUAGGGGGAUUAUUUGAUAAAACAAUGAAUUUGUUCUUACUGCCAUUAGCCCAUAGAAACACAUUCAAUAUUCAUACAUGGUAAAACAGAUUGUAAAGUCAAAAGUAUGUUUUUGGGGGGGUGGCUAGUGACAAACACAUGGAGUAGGCCAAUUGUAUUUAUUGAAUAGUUUCUUUGUGCUUUGACCCAACUUUUAUUUGACUUUUAAUGUGUAAAUGGUGCAUAACCGGCAAAAGUUUAAGUUCAGCUGAGUCAUUGACAAAAGAGAAAACACUAGUCCCAAGACGAGGAGCUCGAGUUCUUCAACAAGUGGGAGCAGCGGCUCCUCGGCUCUGCGGAAAAAAUGAACACCAAGGAUUCGAAGGCCGAGAUUCUUGCUGCCCUCAGAGCGGACAUUUUAUCCACACUCAACUCGGGAACUCAAGGAGGUGCUCAAUGAGGACUUUCAUUUGUAUUAAGUCGGAGUUACAAGCAGUCAAGAAUGAAAUCACAAAGCAUACGGCAAUGGUUCGUACUGAACUGGAUACAAACUGUCUCCGACAUGGAAAAACUUGACCCCAUGCUCAGACGACACAACUAGCCUUAAGCAACAAUGCAUACAUUUACAAGGUUAUAUGCAAAGAUCCAAUAU